UGUAAACGAAGCCCUGAAAGAGAACACAAGCAUUCUGGGAGUCUGUGGUGAGGGGCGGACCAGUCAGGGAUAUAAACAUCAAGGCAUGGGCAGAGGAAACCCAAAUAAGGUGUUUGAUCUGAAUCUGACUUCUGAGUCCAGAGACCACAGGGACUUUCGCCAAACAGUUUCACUAAACGAGUCAGUGAACUCAAAGGAAUGACGUGGUUUGACAGAACUUCAACACACAGCAACAGAAAAACGUGUCUCAAUCCUUCAUCCUUGGGAACAGGAAAAUCAGUUGCUUGGUAGAGGCCAUCUUUAACAAAAGGUCAAAGGAAAUUGUUUUGGAGAUUUUGGGAGACUUUAGCCGCUUAAGACAGGGACCCUCUUACAGAGCUUCGUGAAAAAAGUUGGGAUGCAAUAUCUCCAAAAACUCUACCCGGCAGGUUAAUGAGUAAGAUAAAAAUGAAAAAAGGCACAUGUCGGAUUUCAUUCAUUCACCAAUCACAAACAACUAUUUUGCUGAAGUGGAUAAUUGUUUUCAAAGACUAGAAGAAUAUUCCUCAGUUUUUUGGGGCUAUUCACCAUGUAGCAGGCGUUCAAGAUUAUUUAAACUGUAUGAAUGGUUGUUUGCAGUAGUACCUGGAAAAUCUGAAAAAAAGUGUUCACAUCAUUUAGAAAUUCACCUUGGAUUCAACGUUUUGGAAAAAAAGAAGAGGGAAGGCUUGGAAAGAGAGAGCCUGUUCACGAAGAGAUGCUGACACCUGAGAAGAAGCAGUGAGGAAGCGUGGCAGAACAAAACCCCAUUUAACGCUCCGUGAUGGCUUCUCCAGCAUGAGACCUGGCUGUCCAUUGCCAUCUUGGAAGAAGUUGUGCGCAGAUACUGAUAUGCCCGGAUAAAAGAAAAAUAGGCUCAUUCUUCAAAUAACUUACUUCACUUAAAGUUAUCCUUCAAAUAAGUUACCAUACCUAUAGGAUUCUGCUGCAGAAAGCCUAUAAAAAACAAACUUCAGAGAAUGUUAACGUCAUUUGGGGUAGACUCUUUCCACAGAUGCAACUAGAUUAAAAUUAAUUCCACUUCUGAGUCUGCCUAAAAUUUUGCAUUUGGCUCAGUGACGUAGCUAACACUUUGAAGUUCAUUUCAGCUCCUACAAGUGUAUCAUAUAUAUAUGAAAGCAAGCAAUACUUUUUUCAACUGACCUCUUAUACAGCAAGCUUGCUAAAUUAACUUAUAAAGGCUAAUAAUUUAGCCAUAGAAGCUUCUAAAUAUUUUAGUUUAGGCAGUCAUAUCACCUAAAAUAUGAUGACAAUUGCAUUUUUUCCUUCCAAUUGUCAUACCUCCUUUUUCUUGACUUACUACGUUGGUUAGGCUCUGCAGGGCAGCACUGAAAAGAAGCAAAUAUUCAGCUAACUUUUCCAUUCCUUCAAAUCAAAAGGAGAGCCUCAGGGGCGACUGGGUGGCUCAGUCAGUUAAGUGCCUGACUUCAGCUCGGCUCAUGAUCUCACGGUUCGUGAGUUUGAGCCCCACGUCAGGCUCUGUGCUGACAGCUCUGAGCCUGGAGACUGCUUCGGAUUCUGAGUCUCUCUCUGUGUCUCUCUCUUUCUCUGCCCCUCCCCCACUUGCACUCUCUUUCCAAAUAAAUCAAUCACUUAAAAAAAAAAAAAAUAAAGGAAAGCCUCAGCAUUUCCCAUUAAAGGUGA